UGUCGGAUUGAAUUUUGGCUUCUAUCAUACUCUUCUCAACUCUCUCUCUCUCAUUCUCACAAAAUCUUCCAAACGAUUGCUCCCAAACCCUAAUCGACGAUUCCUCUACUGAGCAACCUUAAUCGGCGAUUCCUUUCCUCACCGUUUCAAUCGAUCCUGUGCGAUGAGGUAUAAUCAAUCUUGAAUAGUCAAUAGUGAUCAUCGACGGUAUUGAUUCCCAUAUCUUCUUCUUUUAUGAUUGAUUAUGUUUUAAUCGUUUGCUGUAUUAUGAUUUCUACACCGUCCGGUGUCUCUGUUUUGUGGGUUUCUUGGAACCUGCCAGAAAGAUUGUAUGGUGGGAUGGUUUAUAUCCAGGCUAUUGGACAGAAGACAUGUCUCUUCUUUGUUUGUUUGCCGACGACCAACCACCCACUACCAGAGAACCGCCGCCACUCAACCGUCUGGUUCGUUUACAUUCACUUUCGUCUAUCUGUAUUCAUGUGAAAAAAUCACAAAAUCUGCUAUUUUGGGGUUUCUUGAUCUUGCAAACUAGAAAUUGGGUUUCUUGGGAUUUUCUUUUUUUUUGUAAGUGAAAUCUUUGGGUUUGUUUUGCAUUGGCACUAGAUUUUCAAUUUGGAGGUAAUUUUUUACCGCCAUUAUUGAAAAUUCUAGGGUUCAUGACACAAAGACUAGAGACUAUAUACAUAUAAAAUGAUCUUCAGUUAAAUUAUAUAUACUGGGUUCGUGACACAGAGACUAGAGACUGUUUAGAUAUAAAAAGAUGUUCAGUAAUGUUUUAUAUACUAUGCUACUCAAUUAAUAGAGCAAUGGAAAUGAACAGUGGUUUUGGUCUUGGUUUGUUCCGAUUGAACUAUUUGGGCGGUCAUCCCCCUUGAGACGCCUGUCUUUGGCUUUAAAUCUUACCCCUUUUUUACAAAGAGAGGGGUAGUAACCAGAGGGUCACCACUAGCGGAUUCCGGCAGUCUUGGCGGCGAUGAGUUUAAACAUAAAAUCUUUGUCGAUGUUUUAGGCGACGACAACUGGGAUUCUUGUGAGGUUUCGGCCUUUUGCCUACCCGAAGAUGAUGGUGGCUUGCUACUUGGUAUGACAACUUCGGUUGCAACCAUAGCGCCACUGAGCGGGUUAAACGAUGAUGAUAAUCUUUUCGGAUCUGAUCUGUGAUGAAUUCAUAUAAUGACUGUAAAUCGGAUGUUGAUGUUGCCUUGGCGUGGGCGCGUGACAGGUAUGGAUUUUGUUUUAUGUGGGUUUUUGUUGCUAGCUGUACUUUGAGAACAUGAGGAACAUGAACAUUGUACCAGAGAAAUAAAUAGGCCGUGAUGAUGUAAAAAAUUCGACUAUCUUUGUUGUUUUGGCUUGGCAAUUUGAUGAUUUGCAGCCACAAUGAGGUAGUGUAUUUAAGCCUACGAAACACAUCUAACCAAAUCAGUUGUGUUAAUAUUUGAAUUUUACUAUUGAUGAUGUUGCUUUCAGUGCUAUUCUUUGAUAGAUUGAUUUGGGUUUGUUUGUUUCUAUCAAUUUUGUUGCUUUAUGUUAUAGGGACUUUUGGGGUUUUUAUGGGUUAUAUUGAAAUAAACAAUUUAACAUGUUUUAGUUAGCGUCUAUAGUUGUCGACUUUUUGGUGCAAAUUGUAACAGAGAGAAAAUUAAAUGGGCGGUGAUGAUAUAAGAAAAUCCUCUAUUUUCGUAGUUUUGGCGUGGCAAUCUGAUGAUCUGCAGCCACAAUGAGAAGACAGAAUGGGAGACUUGAAGGUGAUCUUGAACAACCGCAGCCUCAGACACUUGAAUCGGUGUUACAGCGAGAGUUCGGAAAGAGGAGUAGAGAAUAUGUGUGAGAGACAUCGAUUCAAGAUUGAUUUCUUCGAUUUUCCUACUACAGAUUCAAACACAAUGGAGACGAUUAGGAGAGCAUUGCACGCAGUUUCAUGAGAGAUGUGGGAUACAUCAAGGAAAGGUCUAUUGAGCUUGGUCCGCAAGACUGCACGUCAUCUUUUACUUAAGGUAUUGAACUUAUCCUUCUCGGUGAAGAUGUACAUCAACAUGAAUUCCCCAAAAAGAUUAAGAUGAAGUUUCAUUCUCUACAACAAUCGGACUGGAGAUUCAGUGCGCUGAAGAUGAAGAAUUUUGGAAUAUGGUAUCAAAGGAUUUCCAACUAUUAAAGUAUUUGUUUCUGGAAAACCUCCUGUUGAUUACCAAGGAGCUAGGGAAGCAAAACCAAUAGCAGAAUUUGCACUUUCACAGGUCAAGGCACUCCUCAAGGACAAGUUAAGUGGAAAAACAACAGGAGGAUCAAGUGAGAAAUCAGAACCAAGUUUAUCAGUCGAACUGAAUUCGCGUAAUUUUGACGAAUUGGUUGUUAAAAGCAAAAAUCUCUGGAUGGUGGAAUUCUUCGUACCCUGGUAUUCAUUCUAUGCUUGAGUUGUUUCUUUAGCAAUGUGUUUUCCAAAUGCCCUUAUUUCUUGUUGUAAUACAUUGAAUAUUCUCCAAACCUUGUGAUCGCGCCCCACUGGGAUUUGAAUAAUUUUGUUUUUUUUUUCAAUGUACGUCUUUUUACAUAGUACUAAAUUUGAAUCAAAAUAAAUAAUAUGGUUUUGGUUGAAGCCCGCGUAUUACGCGGGCAUUAACCUAGUUACUCUAUAUAUAAAUAUAAAUUGUUUGCCCGCUCUCUCUGCCCACUAUAAAUUAAAACUCAUAUUCCUUGUGACUUGUGUGGUGGAAAAUAUAAUAAUCUAUUAUAUAUAAUAAAUGUGUUAAAUUUUGCUGAUGUGUCAAGUUAUCAGGCCACUAAAUUUUUCUUUUUGGCGGGAAAAUCUCGUCCACUUUUCUUUGACACGGGAUCUGAAAUAAUUCGGGUCAGAAUAUGGGUCAAGCAUGACUAAUAAUGGAUCCUUUAUAUUUCUUUUCAAUGCCGCUCCACCACAAUUAGGGUUUCUUCUUCUUUGUCUUCGAUCUCUCUGCUACUCCUCCAUGUAAAGGUAUGAUUUAGACAAUUAAUCAACCAUCAUUCUCGGUUAAUUCAAGGUUUUCUUACUAUUAUUUUCUUUGGUUUGUAUAUCUCAUACUUUUCAGUGGAUCCGUGUUGUCAUCUAAAUUAUGUGUUGAGUUUUCUUUCAAUCAGCAUUCAUAUGCUAAAUUCAUUUGUAAUCGAUUAAGCAAAGUUUCUGUCUGAUAAAGAUUCGUGAAUCUGUGAAGCAAAAUUAUGUGAAUCGAUGAAUUGAAAUUGCAACAAAUCUUCGAGCUCAUAUUUUGGAUAUAGAUUGUUGAUAGCCAUUGUUAUAGGUUUAGGUUCAAUAAAAAGGUCAGUUCAUAGUUUUUUAUGUUCUUACGAGCACCAAAGUUUUUUCACCUAUUUAUCUUUUUAACAAUCUGUUUUUGAUUGUUUGUGUAUAUAUGAUCUGAACUGGUGUGCACGAUGAUUAAUCUGCAAAACCCACUUAUUUUGCUGGAAAAAGGUGGCUUCAUAUGAAUAUUAGUGUUUUUGAUUAUUCAAAACCUUAAAUUUGUCACCAAGCGCUUGCAACAUCUAUUUAGGUUGCACACAAGUUGCUCGAUAAAAUGCUUGAAUGAAGUUUUAUUCUCACAUUGGUUACAUUCAAGUGUUUGCCACCAUAAGGGUCGCAACGGAUCAGGCAUGUGGAAAUUCAACAGAAGGUGACACAUCAGUUUUAUCAGUUUAAAAAGAGAGACUGUGAUGUCUUUAUUAUGUUGAUAUUUAGGGGAAAACGGUUACUGAUUGAUUUCAAGGGUUUCCUUUUUCUAUGUUUUUUUUGUUCGUUAUAAUUGCUAUAUCUACUUUUUUGUCUACUAGAUGUGGAUUUUGAUAGUAGAUAAAAGUUAUGAAACGGCAUCAUUUGGAUUUUUUUGUUUUUACACUUAAUGAUGGUUAUUGCAUCUGUUUAUUAUGUUGGGUUUUUGUUUUAAAUUAGUUUGUUAUAAAAUAUUGAUGUGAAGAUCGAGCUUUGUUUUGUAGUGGAAGUAUGUUUCGGAUACUUCAAAGGAAUACAACCCAGGUUAGAUUAGAAAACGGCAUCUUUAAAUAAUCAUAUUAAUAUUGUAUCACUCAUUAGAGGGAUUGCUAUGGGAGGUGGUGCAGCCAUUGCAAUACAUGGUAGAUUUCGAGUUGUUACAGAUAAUACGGUAUGCCUCUUGCCAUCAGCCAUAUAUUUAUGUAUAUUGUUUCAUAAGGAUGGUGAAUCUUCUAAAAAGACAUUCUUUUUCAAGAUCAACAAAUUUGAUGGUAUCAUUU